AACCUUCCUUUAUCCGUGCUGAGAUUUCAUCAGAGAUAAACCUGCUUGGGCUGGUGAAACUUCCGAAAUAAGUAAAGUG
rnacentral:pre_miRNA from 1 species